GAUGAACGCUGGCGGCGUGCCUAAUACAUGCAAGUCGAGCGAACGGACGAGAAGCUUGCUUCUCUGAUGUUAGCGGCGGACGGGUGAGUAACACGUGGAUAACCUACCUAUAAGACUGGGAUAACUUCGGGAAACCGGAGCUAAUACCGGAUAAUAUUUUGAACCGCAUGGUUCAAAAGUGAAAGACGGUCUUGCUGUCACUUAUAGAUGGAUCCGCGCUGCAUUAGCUAGUUGGUAAGGUAACGGCUUACCAAGGCAACGAUGCAUAGCCGGCCUGAGAGGGUGAUCGGCCACACUGGAACUGAGACACGGUCCAGACUCCUACGGGAGGCAGCAGUAGGGAAUCUUCCGCAAUGGGCGAAAGCCUGACGGAGCAACGCCGCGUGAGUGAUGAAGGUCUUCGGAUCGUAAAACUCUGUUAUUAGGGAAGAACAUAUGUGUAAGUAACUGUGCACAUCUUGACGGUACCUAAUCAGAAAGCCACGGCUAACUACGUG
rnacentral:rRNA from 1 species